AAUUACGACGAGUGGUUGCCGUCACUAACAUUAAGCCCUUUUCAUUGUCAUAUACUGGAGGUUUCCAUUCAGCAAGAACUAUUAAAGUACAUCCAUAACGAUUGAAUGCUGGGCUCAUUCCUGAGGUUACCUUUUUACCACGUGUCAAAGUUAGUCGGAUAUGUGCAUUAUCAAACAUUCCAUUUCUUAAAAGAGUCCUGAAAAUAGCUUCUUUGACCUCUUCGCGAGUUGGUACAUUGCUGAAAGCUAGUGCUUUCGCAGAGUCGAACAUCCUAUCUAAAUGCUCCUCAAGCUUAAAUACCUUUCCGCCAUACACUCGAAGUCCCUCCCAAACUCCAUCGCCACCUUGGACAAUUGAAUCAAAUACUGAAACCUUCGCAGUCUCACGAGGCACAAUCUCAUCACCAACCCAUGCAAGCAGCUUCUCAUUAGCAGGAACAGGAAGACUAGGAUGAGGUAAAGUUGAGUUCAGGUAAUUAGAAGAAGAUCGUCUAGCAUGACGUUUAAGCAUGUUGUAAAAGGGUAGGCUUUGCUCCAACAAAUCAUACAAUGAUGUGGGAAAUGGCGUAGGGUAUUUCUUUGCUGGAGCAAAACCUGUUGAUUUAUGCACACUUUUAUACCACCAUGGUGCCCAGAUGCCAUCAAAUGGUUUCGGUCCAGCUUCCCACCUGAGCAUUGAAUCUUGAAAUGGAAUGUCAAGGUCUUCACAAAGGCCACGCAGGGUCGCCUCGGGAUUUUCACGAAGAUCUGCAGCAUCAAUAACUGGUGGGGGUCUUCCUGAUUCAGAUAACUCACUGUAUACGGAGACCAGCUCUGCCAACCCCAGCUCAAGAAAUGAUGGAGGUACAAUCUUGUCAAAGGAUGGCAAGAUAUCAAGGGGAUUCCUUAUCAGUAUGAAGUGCUUUCCUCUUUUCAUCAAUUCAUUUGUCAAACCUGGCACACGUUGUUUGGCUAUAUGCUUACAGUAGCGAUACUUCUUUACUCCUGCACCAAAGAUGACCUCUUUCACCACCUUAUUUCCAUCAUUCUCCAGUUCGGAUCGAAGUUUUUCCUUGUAAGGUCUAUCCACUCCAGUGACUCGCAAAAAAUUUGCAUACAGUGGUUCAUCAAGAACUUCGAUGUCAUUUCUCUGGGCAAAAGAGUACAUGAGGCUGGUGCUUAGGGACCUGGGUGCAGACCAAGAAUGUAUCACUUCAAUUUCUUCUCCCAUUAUCCAAGACUCAAGAAUUGCACAACUUGGUUUUGUGAGUUUGAGAGAGUCAAGA
rnacentral:misc_RNA from 1 species